ACAAGAUGAUUUGUCUGUGUGCACUGAAACAGUCACCUGUGUACCCAGCCCCUCAGCCAGAAACCCAUGCUGACACUUGCAGAAACCUCCUGAUCAGUGCAGCCAGAGAAGAUGCUGCACAGCACUGGCAGGUCUCAGACAGAUUUUACAUUUCUCUUCUAAAAAGAUUUUGGCUAUAACCUUUACUACACAAGGGAGCAGAGCAUCCCAAAAUGCUUCAGGGUUCUCAUUGAUGUUAUUCCAUAUGGGACGUCAGCAUAUUUUUAGAGAAACACUUCUUUGAAAGAUGUGCCAUUAGCUCUGGAUUCAGAGCCUUUUUUUUUUUUUUUUUUUUCAAGACACAACUUGGGAAACUUCCAGACAGGAACAGCUCAUGUAAUAUCCUCACUGGAAUAUCAGGCUUAGCUUCUUGCAAGUAAGAAAAGCAGAACCCUUCAGAUUACAUUUCAGGUUUGGGAUCUGCCCGUUUGCACCGGGCUCUCUCCUGGUGGGGCAUGGCCUCUCUGGAAAACAUUACAAAGCCAGGGCAGUGCUGUCCCACAGCUCAUGGGCCUUUUGCAGGGUUACAGGAGUUGCUUUCUUACACCCCAGCGUUCAUUCCAGCCCCCUUGGGGCUGGGAGGGCAAGGAAGGCAUACACAAUUCCCCUACUGUGGAGCAUAGAGAUAAUUUCUUCUAAUUAGAGAACUCUAAAUAUUUGGAAGUCAGCGUCCAUUAUUAUUCUGGAAACUUCACACAACAAUACAAGAUGGGUUGAUUCUGGCAAAAAUUCUUCAUAGCAAAAGAGCAUUAUCAGGCAAGAACAGAGACAUUUUUCUGUUUUUCAGUGCAGUAAUGCCAAAAGAUACAUUACGGCCAGUCAGACGACUCAGCUAUCUCUAAGAGGGAAGAAGGGCAAACUUCUAAAUAUGAAAAUUCCAAAUGAAUUGCAUUCAGAUAUCCCCCCUCCUCUCCUAGAUGAGCCUGUGAAAAAUAUUUCUGAUAAAAAUGGCACAAAACAUCAACUGAAAAAUAUGAAUUCAUAUUCAGCUGUGUCUUUCAGAUGCCAAUACAUCUGUGACUUCUCUUCCCUGACUUCUCUUAUGAGACUUCUCUUCCCUGAAAUGGCUGUGGGGGGAAGGAACAAAGAAAGGAGAAAAAAGAGAAAACUGAAAAAAAAAAAAAAAAUUGUCCUGGAAUUGACUUUGGGAAUAAAUGCUAUGUCAGCUGGAAGAAAGCCAAACUUGAGUUGAAAUAGCACUUUGCUAUAUUCAACUCUACAGAUUUUUCUGACUGGAGAUGGCUCCACUCAAGGACAUUGCCAUAAUAAUUGGGAACAUGCUGACAUCUGCAUCAGAGGCUCAGUCUAGUCAGAAGUUAAAGUAUGAGAAAGAGGGAGUGAGAUCAAGCUUAAGGAUCUGGAAAGCUUGCAGUCAGGACAGCAUUUUGGGGAAGAUUGCCUGUUUAACUCCAGAUUGUCUUCCUAAGCUUGCUGAAAAUAAUGGGAAACAGAAAGCUGAUCCUUUACUCCUUUAAUCCUCAGCAAACCCACUUCACUUGAUUAAAAUAUUAAUUCACAGGCAGUACCAUAGACUAUAUUUGUUGGCCUGUUGCUGGGACAGGGUGAUUCCUUCACCUGUUUAUCAAUUUUGCACAGGUCUAGUUAUGGUUGAAAGAUUAACUUUCAAAUAGCAAAAUUUCUAUAUGAGACAAAACCAGAAGGCUUAACAAGUAACAAAUUGAGUCAUGCUCUCUUCUUGCCAUCAAUUUGCAGUGCUGGGAGCAGCAGAAAGGGAAGAUGCAAAACAGAGAUGAUGCACAGAUUUGUGAGAAAUUACUCAUCAAUCCAAACCCCAAUAUGCAGCAGGGCCAAGAGGAAUUUAAUUUCACAUGAAAAAUGUCCAGUCACCAGCACAUAAAAUUGCUUCUCUAGAAGUGGCAUUUCCAGUUGCAGACUGUGUUCUGCUUAGACACAUAAAAUCCAUUGUAUUCCUCUUCCCCUUGGUAUGCAGUGCACACAUGAAUGGGAGCUGCUGCUGCAGAAGCUCAUUUGCUCCCAGGGUUGAAGGUGAUCACAUUCCUUCUAAUUACAUAAGAAAAUUCCACUGUCGUGGUGAUUGCUGCAACAAGAACAAAAGUGAAAUGCUUGGGAACAACAGUGCUUUGGGACUUCAGCAGAUCACCCCACUCUGUUCAGAGAAUGCUGGGACCUCUCUUUCUGAUACUCAGUUCCAAAUAUAUAUUAGGCACCAAACAGUCCCAGCUGCUAUUUCUACCUUGCUUCACUUGCUUUUCAGUUUGCUUCCCUGCAUCCAUCAACAAUGAAGGAAAAGAGGUAACAGGAUUUACUGCAUGGUUGUUCUAGCUCUUUGUACAGAAUCCACUAAAAUCCCACUAAAAUACAAUAAAUAACUGGUUUUCUGUUACUUUUCUCUUUGUUUUGAAAUUAGGAGGCAGUUUUAUUCAUUCAUAGGUCAGGAAGAUAAGGGCUUGCUCUGCCAUAACGUGUGCUGGUUUAGCAUGGUUUCAGGGUACAGUGUUUGCUAGGUUUGUUUGAACUUUCUUUUGGUUAUCAGGCCUUCACAAGUAGAAGAAUUUCCUCUUUUGCUAGUACUGGCAGCAUCAUAGCCAGUCUCCUGCAGUGCCCACCAAACCAAAGCUGGUGAAACUCUAGAAGAAACCAAGACUUUGCUUCCAGCACAUACAAAAAAUACCAGGGAAGUGGGAUGGACAAAACAGUUUCCUUUAGGAAUAUACCCCUGGUAUGCAACUGACUGUGAUUCUACCUGUGACUGUCAAAAUUUAGAAUUAGAUCUUUGUCUUCCAGGACAAGGGGACAGACAAUAGGAGGCUCAGAGGAAAAAAAUAGCACAGUACAAGAAAUGGGCAUCUUCAUUCACGUCAUGGCAUUCCCUGGGAUACCAAGGGUGACUGUUUGAUCUCACCUUUACACAGAAGUCUCCAAGGGCAGAGGGCAAAAGGGAACUGCAGGAAGGAUAGAGGAGAGAAAAGUCACACCAGCAUGUGGACAGCAACACAGACUGCAGCCCACAGCAGAACAGUCAGACCUUUCUCUUGCUGGUGGGGACAACUCACGUGGCAGAAGAUGAAAGUUGGUGCUGUUGAACUUUACAUUAAUCACUGUCUGCCAGGAGAGGAGCUGGAGCAGCCUGGCUCUGCCAGUGUGGAGCACAAGGAAUCGCUCAGGGGUGCUGGUUUCUCCUGCCAUGGGGAUGUGCUGCAUCAGCAGCAGGACCACGGCACAAGAGACUUGGAAACUGCUGCAGUUAAAACAAGGAAGGAUGGAAAAUGACAGGAUGUAAAACCAGCACCCUCCUCUUCCAGAAAACCACAGAGCAAACUCAGAAGACCUUGAACAGGAAGGUGCUCAUUAAUUCAGUAACAAAAUUACCUCAUAUUGUUAAAACAUCCUUCCUUCUCCCCAAAGGCCAGCAGAGCAGGUGAGGACACUGCACUCGUCUGCACAUCCUCUCAGCACUGAGGAUGCAUCACUGCACCAUUUUAGGAGAAACACACUGCACUGGCAUGUCAGGUCUCAAACGAGCAGCCUUUUAGACUUAGGGCAAACCCAACACUUUUGGUUUAAAACAACAGUACUUUGGGAACUUCUCAUUCAGGGGUUUCCAAAAGCAUGUGCCAUUCCCUAAAAAGCUGAGCUGGCUAUUGCUUCAGAGGCAGCUCUGCACAGGCCAUGGUCCCACAAUGUACUUCACAUUUCCCUGCCCACACAAAACCCCCCUCUCAGCCUGGAAGAGGGCAGGCACCAGAUGCUCUCAAUGCAGCUCUCUGUUUCCUAAUGCAACAUUUCACAGCCAAAAAUAAACCAGCCCCAAACAACUCACUGGUUUGUAGGUGCUGCACAUCCUAUCUGUUUCAUCAUCUAAAGCCGAGUUCCAUGCUGCAGAAAUGGUUAUACCUCAAAAGAGAAAGGUUCACUGGGGUAAAGAAGUGCAAAGGACAAUUAAAGAGGGCAGGGGCUCUCCUAAGGAAAGCACUCUGGCACGUCUCCUCCUCAGUGGCUUGGCCCCCUGAGCAGAAUACAAAUGAAGAGCAUCACUGACAGCCCAGCCUAACAUCUCAGUCCCCUUCACAAGCCAUCCAUUUGGCUCAGGGCACAGACACAGUGCAGGCAUUGUCACAAAUACACUGGGCACAAACAGACUGAGAGGGAGGCCCACAGACAAACAUCACCCUAUUGAGACUGAACACAGCCUUAAAAAUAUACUAACAGAUACAGCUAUUAACAUGCCUGCACAGAACAGAAUAUGGGCAGAGCACUCAAAGUGCUUGUUCAUUCCUCAUCCUCCAUUUCAAGCUAUAAUGUCACCCUGUAAUUAGCUGAAAUAACCUUUAUUCUGCUCAGCUUUGCCACUGAUGAGAAGCUCACAAGAAGCAUGAAUCGUCAGGAAAGGUUUAAAAAUACAUGCAAAUUUAACAGCAA